CAUGCAAGUUAGAGACCAGCACAAAACUGGACCAAAUAUAGAGCCAUUAUUAGAUCAGAUAGCUCUGCUAUCUCAAAGACAGGGAACAAAAUAAAACUAAAAAAUAAAACUUGGAGGACAAAUAACAUAUAGAGAGGAAAAACUCUCAAAGCUAAUUAAUAUCCUCAGAAAGGUAAGACUAUAUCCUUAAAAUAAAAACAGAAUACCAUGGGGAAAAGGCACUUUGAACAAUAGAAUAGCUGAAAUGAAACACACAAGGAUUGGAAAAUGAAGCUGAGGAAAUACCCCCAGAAAGUAGAACAAAAUUACAAAAGUGAAAAGUGGAAGAAAAAUAAGUAAAGGGUCACUAGAUGUCUAACAUCUGAAAAACAGGGGUUACAGAAAUAAAACUGAAAAUGGAGCGAGUUAAUCAAAGACAUGAUUCAAGAAAAGUUCCCAGACCUGAAGGAUGUUUCUAGAGUGAAUGGAGCCCACCCAGGGUGUAGUAGAUAUAUGAAAAUAGACCCACAUAAUGAAUACUAUUGUGAAAUAUGAGAAUAGUAGGUACAAAGAAAAUCUUACAUUCCUCAAAUAAAACAAAUCAAAGGUAUCAGAAUUGGAAUGAUUUUGAACUUCGACAUCUGUCCUAGAAGCUGAAAGAAAAUGGAAUAGUGCCUUCAAAAUUCUAAAGGAAAGUUAUUUUCCAACUUAGAAUUCUGAACCCAGGAAAAUUAUAAAUUAAGGGUGAGGCUAGAAUCAAUAUAUUUUAAAAUAGGCAGGAUCACAAGUUUAUCUCUUAUGUACCCUUCCUUUCUGGGAAAACUACUAUAGGAUAUACAGCAUCAAAAUGAGGGGGUAAACCCAGAAAAAGGAAGACAAGGGACUCAAUGCAGGAGGGAGGUAAGGGGUCCCGGUGACAGCUGUGAGCCAGGCUGGUCUGGGAUGGAGCAGGUCAGAAGGUUCCUAGUGAGAGUGCUUCAGGAGGAUGGAAUUGGUGGAAUCCCUGGUGUGUCCAAGCAUAUUGAGGUGGUGUAAAGGAGCUAAACUCUAAAAUGAGCUAAAUUCUAUAAUGCCUAGGACUAAAAGCUGUGUGCUAGCAUGUUAUCUGCAGAUAUGGAAGUAGAUACCCAAAUAAUUAGCUGAAAAGAGUUGGGAGGGUGGUGGGAGGCAGCUCCUUUUCAUAUCAGUUCUGUGAUACUACUUGAUUCUACAUUGCAUGUAUGAAAUUGACACCAAUGAGAACCAAACAAAAAGAAAGGACUCUCAGUUUUCACUAAGGUUGGCCAAGAUGGAAAAGGUUGAUAGUACUGAAUGGGAAAACUGGCUGAACUCUUCCUGGUGGGAGCAAAAAUUCACGUGAUCUCUUCAGAGGUCAAUUUGGCAGUAAAUGAUGAAAACUUAAAAAGGGCAACUCACCCUCAACCCUGCAAGUUGUUUCUCUCCCUCAGUUGUGUAUGGUGGAUCUGGAACAGGAAGCUGUGGGUGGAAGGGAACCCCCGGAAGGCACUCCUAGGUGAAGGAGGGGCAAAUACUUGGGAGCUGGUGUCAGCAGGCAGGAUCGGGAUGGGUGGAGGACCAGACUGCAAACCAGCUGACCCUUGUCUUCCAGUCUCCUUCCCUGGUAGGGGAGUCUCACUGUGGAAGCCUGAAUUAUGCUCUCCUGAAACAUUGCUCUGGGGGAGACAAGGGGCCCUCUAGUGCUGAAGUGCUCCUGAGGGCAGCCUGCAGUCUUCAGUGUCCCGGCAGCGCCGCGGUCCAAGGUCAGCCAGGCGCUGUG
rnacentral:lncRNA from 1 species